AAUAAUCUUACCUUGCCUUGCCUUAAAACUAAUUUAUAUAAAAUAGCUCCAUUAUUUGUAAACUGACUUGUGUUUGUGUUUGACAUAUGUGAUGCUUCAUUUAUUUAAAAUUUUAUUUGUAGGCAAUUUCUGUUUAUGUUUUAUUAAUUCAAUUCAAACCACUAAGUUACCUAUGUGAUUCUUCAUUUAUUUGUUCUUUAAUUGUACAUUAUGUUUUAUUUGUUUCACACCACAUGUGUGAUAUAGGCUAACGUUACUGAUUUUUAUUCAACUUGUCUGUUACAUUGAUUGAGGUAAAGCACUUUAUUACCUGUAUUUAAAAGUAGGCUACUAUAGCCUACAAAUAAAGCUGUUAAAUUAUUAUUAUUAGCCUGUGGCAACUGUGAAUACAUCUCUGUAGGAUAGAAGGAAACAAGGCUGCUGAUUAAUGGGCUAAAAGAGCAUUAAACUAGGACAAAUUCACUUAUCACUGAAUAAUUACAUCUUUAUUUACAUCAUCAAUGAAAAGUGUGCCUGAGCUAUUAGUAAGGUAAGAAAGAAAAUAUUUAGAGUCGUUAAUGCUGCGGUACAGGAGGUGGCGCCAUGUAGCUUUCGUACUGGUUUGUAGUCCGACAUCAAAACCAACGAACUACUAUAGCAUUGUGUGCAAGCCUCCAUAAAACCACAACAUUAAGGGAAAGGAGAGACGGGGACGCGGGAGGAACCAGUGUCCUGUCAGCUGGGCACUUUUAGCAUCGUUAUUAGCAACGAUACACAGAAUUAUUAAACAAUGGCCAACACUGCCCGGAGAGCAGACACAAGAAACCGACAGGAGAUGUGUCUGAAGGAGACAUGUUUCAAAGCUGUCCGGAAACAUUUUGCUGUCCUGGGCAUUGAGGCUGUUCUUGGGCUGCAGUGGAGUCUGAACAAAUGACAACUCUCUCAGGCCUCACCUCUUCUAUCCAUUGUAACCCUAAAAUAAUAGCAACCAUGUCUGCUGGAUAUACAGAAGCUUCAGGUCCACAUUGGGCACAGGAAAUAUCCACGGAGGAACAUUAUCCCAUACAGUAAUUGGUCCGUAUUCUAUGUUAUUUAAUCCAUAUUCUUCUGCUACUGCAUUAAUAUUCCAGCCAAAUCCUUUACCUUUCAGUUGUUGUGUAUAUUCCCAACAGUCACACAGAACCUUUGUUGCAGGUUGUUCCUCUCCAGAUCCUUUUAACUUGACCCAAUAUGCUAAAGACAACUUAGAACAUCUCAAAUAUAAUGGCAAUUCAUCAGCUUCUACCAGCAGUGCAUUAGUAGGGGUUGUUUUCACUGCACCUAUGCUGAGUCUUAGAGCUCUGAACUGUAUUCUGUUUUUCUAAAAUACUCUUGGCUGCUGCUCCACAUACCAUACAAUCAUAAUCAAUAGACGAUCGUAUUAAAGCCCUGUAAAUAUCUAGUAGUGAUUGUUUAUCUGCUCCCCAUUGGUAACCAGAAACUGACCUCAUGAGAUUCAGUACCUUUUUUACAUUUUGUUUCAACCUGUUUAACAUGAUUCCUCCAUACACAUUUCUCAUCAAACCACAAUCCUACAUACUUGAACUCUUUCCAUAUUUUGUCCAUACAAUUUAAGCUUUGUGUUAUUAAUAUUUCUCUUUCUGGUAAAGAACAUAUAGCAUGACUUUACGACUGACAUCUUAAAUCCCCAAUCAUAUGACCAUCUUUCAACUUUUAAUAUAGCACUCUGUAUGCUAUUAGUCACAUGCCUAAUGUUUUUCCCUCUUUUCCAUAUAGCCCCAUCAUCUGCAUAAAGUGAUGAUCCAAUAUCUCUACCAACAUUUACAAAAAUGUCAUUUAUCAUGAUGUUAAACAGAACAGGGCUUAUAGCGCUCCCUUGAGGAAUACCAUUUUCAAUUUCAAAAUCCUCCAACACAGCAUCUCCAACUUUAACAACGAAAGUUCAGUUAGACAGGAAGUCUAAAACCCAGUUGUAUAGUCUUCCGCCAAUACCCAUUUCAUGCAUUUUUAUCAGUAGUCCUUCUCUCCACAUUGAAUCAUAAGCUUUCUCAAUAUCAAAAUAUACUAUAGCCAUGACCUCUUUCAUACUAACUGCCUUUUCUGCCUCAUUGCUAACUUUAACUAAAGCGUCUACCGUAGAUCUUCCUUUACGAAGUCCACUUUGGUAUUUGUUUAGCAGUCCUCUUUGCUCUAAAUAAUAUGACAAUCUACAGACAAUUAUCUUUUCCAUCCAUUUACACAAGUGCGAUGUUAAGGCUAUAGGUCUGUAGUUUCCUGCAUUAAUUGUGUCUUUACCAGGUUUACCAAAAGGUACUAUCAGAGCACUUUUCCAACUAUCAGGCAUUACACCUUCUCUCCAUAUCUUAUUGAACAGUUUUAGCAUCAUUUCCAAGACUUCUUUUGGUAAUUGUCUAAACAUAGCAUAGCAUAGUUGAUCUUGUCCUGGAGCUGUAUAUCCACUUCCAUCUAGGACCAUUUUUAACUCUCGUAAUGAAAAGUCCAUGUCAAUUGCCGAUUCAUCACUAUCUUUUUUCUAAGUUACAUCACUAUAUGUUCUUAAAAUAUCCUUUUUCCGUUGGUUAUGUAUUUCAUCUAAAUGACUCCCACUAUGUACACUUGCAAACUUCUUACCUAGUAGCUCAGCUUUCUCCUUAUUUGUAAUUGCCAGGUGUUCUCCAUCUAUCAGCACUGGGAUUUUAACUGAUUUUCUUUCCCACUCAUCUUUUUGAUCAUUGCUCAAAUGUCACCCAAUUUAACUUCUCUACCAAUGGAGCAGAAUUGCCUCCAUGCAUUCUUCUUGGAUGACUUAAUUAUUUUCCGUGCCAUAGCCCUCUUUCUUUCAUAGUCAAUCAGAUUGUCUUGGCUCAAAUGCUUUCUUAAAAUUCUGAAUGCAUGAUUUCUGUCUUUUAUAGCAUUUUUACAUUCAUCGUUCCACCAUGGAACUAUUUUCUUUUUCUCAUUCACUGUGCUCUUAAGGAUGCAGGUUGUUGCAGCACUAGUAAUCAUGGAAGUCAAUGCUGCUGCGCAGCUAUUUACAUCACCCUCCAUUGAUAUUCUUUCAGAAUAUUCAGUACAAAGUUCUCUUAUUUUUUUCCCAGUUAGCUUUAUGAAAACACCAUCUCUCUAUUACAUGACCUUCCUGAACAUACAUAUCAAAGUUCAUGGAACACAAUAUUGGAAAGUUAUCACUCCCUAUGUUGGUAUCAUUCUUUACAUUCCAUUCACAUAAAUUACUCAUAUUUACUGAGACUAAAGUAAGAUCUAUACAAGAAACUGAAUUUCUUGUAACAUUAACCCUGGUACCUCUUCCAUCAUUAAGCCAAGAAAGUGAUCUCUCCUCGAUUAGUUCUUCAACUACUUCUCCAUUAGUGCCUGUAUGGUCACUUCUCCACAGAGUAUUGUGAGCAUUAAAGUCUCCACACCAUAUUUCUCUAUCUACACUUUCUGAGAUCUCAUGGAAUGUUUGCAUUGAUAAUUUCUUGCACGGAUUAUAAAAAUUGACUACUUUGAUAUUUCCUCUGGGACUACACAUUUCUACUACUACACAUCCAUACUCAUUUGGAACGGUUACCCUUCUAUAUGCUAAAGUAUCUUUAAUAAAUGUUACACAUCCUCCACCUUGUUUUCCAAUUCUGUCACAUCUAACCGAGUUGUAGCCUCCAAAUGUGGUCUGAACCAAGUUUCUUGUAUACACAUAACAUCAGGUACAUCAUAACAUCUUCCAGAUCAGUUACAACCUUCUUGAACUCUUGUCCAUUUGCAAUUAAACUUCUGGCAUUCCAGUGGAGGAUAUGAAAUACCAUAAUGAGGCUAAUCGCCUUGAGACACUCCAUUAGUCGGGUUCAACAUCUCAUGAAUCAGUUCAGCUGUAACUUCCAUGAUCCCCAGUAUCUCUAUGGCUGCCUCUACAAUUGUCUUGAUUCUAUCACUUUUUCUUCUGCUGUAUUGCCACAUUUACAGUCUUACAGAUGAAAGCAACAAAGUUGGUUUUACCCACAAUCAGUGUCUUCAUUAAUAUCCUUGGAUUUGUUUCUGUUUGCCUCUGACUUGGUGUUGGAGAUGAAACCUCAAUUACUCGUCUGUUCUCAGACUCUUGGGCUCUAUUUACUACUUGUGUAACACUGGAUCUGAAUAGUUCACUUUCCUUCACUUUUUUUUUGCUGCAUCAGCAUAAGAUACCUGAUUAGUUACUUUAUAUAUAUGUACCUCUCUAGCUUGCCUUUGAACAGGGCAUCCUCCAAAAGCACCGCUAUGCUCACCGCCGCAAUUACAACAUUUCACUUUUGUAUCCUGGCCAGAUUUUCCAUAUUCAUGUUCACCUCCACACCUAGCACAUCUUUGUUUUCCUUUACAUUGUCCAGCAGUGUGUCCCAUUCUUUGACACUUGAAACAUCUAAUUGGUGCUGGGAUAAACUCUCUUCAGUGUUUCCCACAGAUUGACAGUGUAACUGUGGCGGGCGGAGCUUAGCUCUCCUUCUUUGCUAGGCCCCUUGCAUGCUGGCUAAUAACUUUUUUUAAGCUGGGUAUCCGACAUUGACAGCGUUGUGUUGGACAGAUUUGUGCAGCGGAAAUGUCACCACCUCCACGUCAUAGGUUGAACUUCCAGAACUAUCGCACCUUCCUUUCCUCUUAUUAUUUACAUCCUGCCACGGCAUACUAUCACUAUCUCCAUCCGUACUUUUACCCAUGAGAAUUACAUUCGCGGCACAGUUCCGCUGCACAAAUUCGCCAAAUACCAA